rnacentral:rRNA from 1 species
UACGUAGGGGGCAAGCGUUGUCCGGAAUCAUUGGGCGUAAAGCGCGUGUAGGCGGUCCGGUAAGUCUGCUGUCAAAGCGUCUGGCUCAACCAGAUAAAGGCAGUGGAAACUACAUAGCUAGAGUAAGGUAGGGGUAGAGGGAAUUCCUGGUGUAGCGGUGAAAUGCGUAGAGAUCAGGAAGAACACCGGUGGCGAAAGCGCUCUGCUGGACCUUAACUGACACUGAGGGACGAAAGCUAGGGGAGCGAAUGGG